UCGGGUACUGGACAGUGGCGCACGGGUGAGUAACGCGUGGGAACCUGCCCUGAGGUACGGGAUAACGGCUGGAAACGGCCGCUAAUACCGUAUGUCCCCUGAGGGGGAAAAAUUUAUCGCCUGUGGGGAGGGGCCCGCGUCCUAUUAUCUUGUGGGUGAGGUAAUGGCUCACCAAGGCGACGAUCGGUAGCUGGUCUGAGAGGAUGAUCAGCCACACUGGGACUGAGACACGGCCCAGACUCCUACGGGAGGCAGCAGUGGGGAAUAUUGGACAAUGGGGGCAACCCUGAUCCAGCAAUGCCGCGUGUGUGAUGAAGGCCUUAGGGUUGUAAAGCACUUUCACUGGUGAAGAUGAUGACGGUAGCCAGAGAAGAAGCCCCGGCUAACUCCGUGCCAGCAGCCGCGGUAAUACGGAGGGGGCAAGCGUUGUUCGGAAUUACUGGGCGUAAAGGGCGUGUAGGCGGCGAUUUUAGUCAGGCGUGAAAGCCCGGGGCUCAACCUCGGAAUAGCGCUUGAUACUGGAUCGCUUGAGACCGGAAGAGGGUAGUGAAUUUCCCAGUGUAGAGGUGA
rnacentral:rRNA from 1 species